rnacentral:rRNA from 1 species
GAUGAACGCUGGCGGCGUGCCUAAUACAUGCAAGUCGAGCGAACAGACGAGGAGCUUGCUCCUCUGACGUUAGCGGCGGACGGGUGAGUAACACGUGGAUAACCUACCUAUAAGACUGGGAUAACUUCGGGAAACCGGAGCUAAUACCGGAUAAUAUAUUGAACCGCAUGGUUCAAUAGUGAAAGACGGUUUUGCUGUCACUUAUAGAUGGAUCCGCGCCGCAUUAGCUAGUUGGUAAGGUAACGGCUUACCAAGGCAACGAUGCGUAGCCGACCUGAGAGGGUGAUCGGCCACACUGGAACUGAGACACGGUCCAGACUCCUACGGGAGGCAGCAGUAGGGAAUCUUCCGCAAUGGGCGAAAGCCUGACGGAGCAACGCCGCGUGAAUGAUGAAGGUCUUCGGAUCGUAAAACUCUGUUAUUAGGGAAGAACAAAUGCGUAAGUAACUAUGCACGUCUUGACGGUACCUAAUCAGAAAGCCACGGCUAACUACGUG